GUUAAAUUUUGUGGUAGCUUUUCUGACAAUGCCUUUUGAGAAAUCUGGAGAUGGAAGUUCAGGUGUGCAGCUCCUGAAACAAAGGUUAUCUAGCUCGGAAACAGAGCAAGGAAGAAGGCAUGGUUUAAGUUUUAAACCUCGACCAGAUGACGUGUUCGUCGUGACUCCACCUAAAUGCGGCACAACAUGGAUGCAACAGAUUCUACAUCAGUUACGUAGUGGUGGCGAUAUGUCAUUUGAUGAGAUUUCCGAUGUGGUCCCUUAUAUCGAGAUGGCUUAUGAUAUCGAAAUAAACCUCGACGCUGAACACCACUAUCAACCACGGUAAGCUUCACUGAUUUGAAAAGUAGCGAACUGGAUAGUUGACAUUUGACAUUUUUACAUUAACAAAAUUGACAAAAUUUGAAAAAACUGACAAAAUUCCUGGGCAAAAUUCUCCCACCUUCGGGAUGAAAAUUGUAUAAUCCUGAAGUAUUUGGUUUUUGGUACACUCUAUAUGUCAGGUGAUAGGGAAUACUCAUAAUAAGGAACAUAUUUUAUACCAUAUAUUAAAAAUGACACGAAUACCUUCAUUGUUAUUAAAAAGUUAAUAUAAUGAACUUUUCAAAAUAACAUAAUGUGAACUUUUACCUAUACUGUAAAUAUAAAUUGAUAUUAAUGUCAGGGCCGCCGAGAGGGGGGGGGGGG